GACGAACGCUGGCGGCGUGCUUAACACAUGCAAGUCGAACGGAAAGGCCCUGCUUUUGUGGGGUGCUCGAGUGGCGAACGGGUGAGUAACACGUGAGUAACCUGCCCUUGACUUUGGGAUAACUUCAGGAAACUGGGGCUAAUACCGGAUAGGAGCUCCUGCUGCAUGGUGGGGGUUGGAAAGUUUCGGCGGUUGGGGAUGGACUCGCGGCUUAUCAGCUUGUUGGUGGGGUAGUGGCUUACCAAGGCUUUGACGGGUAGCCGGCCUGAGAGGGUGGCCGGCCACAUUGGGACUGAGAUACGGCCCAGACUCCUACGGGAGGCAGCAGUGGGGAAUAUUGCACAAUGGGCGGAAGCCUGAUGCAGCAACGCCGCGUCCGGGAUGACGGCCUUCGGGUUGUAAACCGCUUUCGCCUGUGACGAAGCGUGAGUGACGGUAAUGGGUAAAGAAGCACCGGCUAACUACGUG
rnacentral:rRNA from 1 species